rnacentral:rRNA from 1 species
GACGAACGCUGGCGGCGUGCUUAACACAUGCAAGUCGAACGAAGAGCGAUGGAAGCUUGCUUCUAUCAAUCUUAGUGGCGAACGGGUGAGUAACGCGUAAUCAACCUGCCCUUCAGAGGGGGACAACAGUUGGAAACGACUGCUAAUACCGCAUACGAUCUAUCUCGGCAUCGAGGAUAGAUGAAAGGUGGCCUCUACAUGUAAGCUAUCACUGAAGGAGGGGAUUGCGUCUGAUUAGCUAGUUGGAGGGGUAACGGCCCACCAAGGCGAUGAUCAGUAGCCGGUCUGAGAGGAUGAACGGCCACAUUGGGACUGAGACACGGCCCAGACUCCUACGGGAGGCAGCAGUGGGGAAUCUUCCGCAAUGGACGAAAGUCUGACGGAGCAACGCCGCGUGAGGGAUGACGGCCUUCGGGUUGUAAAGCUCUGUUAAUCGGGACGAAAGGCCUUCUUGCGAAUAGGGAGAAGGAUUGACGGUACCGGAAGAGAAAGCCACGGCUAACUACGUG